GAUGAACGCUGGCGGCGUGCCUAAUACAUGCAAGUCGAGCGAACGGACGAGAAGCUUGCUUCUCUGAUGUUAGCGGCGGACGGGUGAGUAACACGUGGAUAACCUACCUAUAAGACUGGGAUAACUUCGGGAAACCGGAGCUAAUACCGGAUAAUAUUUUGAACCGCAUGGUUCAAAAGUGAAAGACGGUCUUGCUGUCACUUAUAGAUGGAUCCGCGCUGCAUUAGCUAGUUGGUAAGGUAACGGCUUACCAAGGCAACGAUGCAUAGCCGACCUGAGAGGGUGAUCGGCCACACUGGAACUGAGACACGGUCCAGACUCCUACGGGAGGCAGCAGUAGGGAAUCUUCCGCAAUGGGCGAAAGCCUGACGGAGCAACGCCGCGUGAGUGGUGAAGGUCUUCGGAUCGUAAAACUCUGUUAUUAGGGAAGAACAUAUGUGUAAGUAACUGUGCACAUCUUGACGGUACCUAAUCAGAAAGCCACGGCUAACUACGUGC
rnacentral:rRNA from 1 species